GAUGAACGCUAGCGGCAGGCUUAACACAUGCAAGUCGAGGGGCAGCGGAUUUUGUAGCAAUACAGGAUGCCGGCGACCGGCGCAAGGGUGCGUAACACGUGAGUAACAUGCCUGUAUCAGGAGGAAAAGCCGUGGAAACGCGGUCUAAUACUCCAUAGGAAUAUGAUUCGGCAUCGAGACAUAUUUAAAGGUGCAAACCGGAUACAGAUUGGCUCGCGGGGCAUUAGCUAGAUGGAGAGGUAACGGCUCACCAUGGCGACGAUGCCUAGGGGUUCUGAGAGGAAGAUCCCCCACACUGGGACUGAGACACGGCCCAGACUCCUACGGGAGGCAGCAGUGAGGAAUAUUGGACAAUGGAAGGAAUUCUGAUCCAGCCAUGCCGCGUGCAGGAAGAAGGUUCUAUGGAUUGUAAACUGCUUUAGUACGCGGGCAAUAAGUUCCACGGGAUGGGAUGAUGAGAGUAGCGUACGAAAAAGCAUCGGCUAACUCCGUGCCAGCAGCCGCGGUAAUACGGAGGAUGCGAGCGUUAUCCGGAUUUAUUGGGUUUAAAGGGUGCGUAGGCGGAAAGACAAGUCAGUGGUGAAAGACAUGGGCUAAACCCGUGGGCUGCCAUAGAAACUGUCGUUCUGGAAUGGGGAUGCUGUACGAGGAAUGUGUAGUGUAGCGGUGAAAUGCAUAGAUAUUACACAGAACACCGAUUGCGAAGGCAUCGUACAAAACCCUGAUUGACGCUGAGGCACGAAAGUGUGGGGAUCAAACAGGAUUAGAUACCCUGGUAGUCCACACAGUAAACGAUGAUAACUAGCUGUUGGGCGGAAGCGUUCAGUGGCUAAGCGAAAGCGAUAAGUUAUCCACCUGGGGAGUACGACCGCAAGGUUGAAACUCAAAGGAAUUGACGGGGGCCCGCACAAGCGGAGGAACAUGUGGUUUAAUUCGAUGAUACGCGAGGAACCUUACCCGGGCUCGAACGGCUCAUGAAUGAGGCAGAGAUGCCGAAGGCCAGCAAUGGGAUGAGUCGAGGUGCUGCAUGGUUGUCGUCAGCUCGUGCCGUGAGGUGUCGGCUUAAGUGCCAUAACGAGCGCAACCCUUGUAUAUAGUUACCAGCGGGUAGAGCCGGGGACUCUAUAUAGACUGCCACCGUAAGGUGAGAGGAAGGGGGGGAUGACGUCAAAUCAGCACGGCCCUUACGUCCGGGGCGACACACGUGUUACAAUGGCAGGUACAGAGGGGAGCUACCUAGCGAUAGGAUGCGAAUCUCGAAAGCCUGUCUCAGUUCGGAUUGGAGUCUGCAACUCGACUCCAUGAAGUUGGAUUCGCUAGUAAUCGCGCAUCAGCCAUGGCGCGGUGAAUACGUUCCCGGGCCUUGUACACACCGCCCGUCAAGCCAUGGGAGCUUGGGGUGCCUGAAGUCCGUAACCGAGAGGGGCGGCCAAGGGCAAAACAAGUGACUGGGGC
rnacentral:rRNA from 1 species